UGUGUUCAGGGGAUGUGUGUGUGAC
rnacentral:piRNA from 1 species